ACAUUGGUAGUUCAGUGGUAGAAUUUUUGCCUUUCAUGUUGGAGACCUGGGUUCGAUUCCUAGCCGGUGCA
rnacentral:tRNA from 1 species